GCUUUAGAAAGAACCCAGAGUUACUGCAGUUUCAGAGGUACAGGUGUCUUGACUCUGUUACGGAAUCCACAAGGUGGAAGGAGUCCAAGGCUGAAUGGAGCAUCAUUCCCCAGCAACUCGUACCAGAUGUUAAAGAAAUGAAUAGAAAUGAAAGUCAGCAUUCCCUGGGACAAAAGUAUCAAGGCAAAGAGCCAGGCUUGGGCCAGAGUUAGUCUUGAUGUCUUUUACUUCAUGCAGAGGGAAUUGCAAACAUGAGGCUUUCCUUCAGAGUCGUGCACUGAAAACCCCCAUGGCAUCUCCCAUUCAAAAUCAAGAUACCUCCAGGAACUGCAUGUUACAAAGUGGGAACAGACAAAGGACAGGUCUUUGGGACAUGCCAUGGCAAGGGGUACUCGUUCCUUGGCAUGGCCUCAUUCUCUGGCACGUGUCCCAGCUCGGCCAGGUGGUGGGUGGAUGCCCAACCUCUGCUGCAAAGGAAACAGCAGAGCCCAGGGCCACAUCCCAGCAAAGCAAUAACUUCUGUUUACUUAAACUUUUCUCCUCCUGCUUUUCCCCUGCAAACAUGCUCCUAUCCCAUCUGACUCAGAUUUGAAGUGACCUCCAGCACUUUGUAUUGAGAAAGGAGGAGGAAAAAGGUAACCUGGCUUUGUGAUAAUCUUUUGGGAGAAAGAUGCUGAGGUCAUUAGUCCUCCUGCCUCUUCUCUGAAUUUUCUGAGUCUGCUGUUUCCAGCUUCAAGAGUAACAAGAGCAGUACCAGCCCUCAAAUGAAUGGCUUAAAAGUAAUGCAUUUU